rnacentral:rRNA from 1 species
GACGAACGCUGGCGGCGUGCUUAACACAUGCAAGUCGAACGGUGAAGGGACCGGUUUUUGCUGGUUCUGGAUGAGUGGCGCACGGGUGAGUAACACGUGAGUAACCUGCCCCCUUCUUCUGGAUAACCGCAUGAAAGUGUGGCUAAUACGGGAUAUUCUGCGCCUGCUGCAUGGUGGGUGUGGGAAAGAUAUUGUUUCGGUGGGGGAUGGGCUCGCGGCCUAUCAGCUUGUUGGUGGGGUGAUGGCCUACCAAGGCGGUGACGGGUAGCCGGCCUGAGAGGGUGGACGGUCACACUGGGACUGAGACACGGCCCAGACUCCUACGGGAGGCAGCAGUGGGGAAUAUUGCACAAUGGGCGCAAGCCUGAUGCAGCGACGCCGCGGGAGGGAUGGAGGCCGUCGGGUUGUAAACCUCUUUCGCCAGUGAAGCAGGCCUGUCCCUUUUGUGGGUGGGUUGACGGUAGCUGGAUAAGAAGCGCCGGCUAACUACGUG